GACGAACGCUGGCGGCGUGCUUAACACAUGCAAGUCGAACGGAAAGGCCCUGCUUUUGUGGGGUGCUCGAGUGGCGAACGGGUGAGUAACACGUGAGUAACCUGCCCUUGACUUUGGGAUAACUUCAGGAAACUGGGGCUAAUACCGGAUAGGAGCUCCUGCUGCAUGGUGGGGGUUGGAAAGUUUCGGCGGUUGGGGAUGGACUCGCGGCUUAUCAGCUUGUUGGUGGGGUAGUGGCUUACCAAGGCUUUGACGGGUAGCCGGCCUGAGAGGGUGACCGGCCACAUUGGGACUGAGAUACGGCCCAGACUCCUACGGGAGGCAGCAGUGGGGAAUAUUGCACAAUGGGCGGAAGCCUGAUGCAGCAACGCCGCGUGCGGGAUGACGGCCUUCGGGUUGUAAACCGCUUUCGCCUGUGACGAAGCGUGAGUGACGGUAAUGGGUAAAGAAGCACCGGCUAACUACGUGCCAGCAGCCGCGGUGAUACGUAGGGUGCGAGCGUUGUCCGGAUUUAUUGGGCGUAAAGGGCUCGUAGGUGGUUGAUCGCGUCGGAAGUGUAAUCUUGGGGCUUAACCCUGAGCGUGCUUUCGAUACGGGUUGACUUGAGGAAGGUAGGGGAAAAUGGAAUUCCUGGUGGAGCGGUGGAAUGCGCAGAUAUCAGGAGGAACACCAGUGGCGAAGGCGGUUCUCUGGGCCUUUCCUGACGCUGAGGAGCGAAAGCGUGGGGAGCGAACAGGCUUAGAUACCCUGGUAGUCCACGCUGUAAACGGUGGGUACUAGGUGUGGGGUCCAUUCCACGGGUUCCGUGCCGUAGCUAACGCUUUAAGUACCCCGCCUGGGGAGUACGGCCGCAAGGCUAAAACUCAAAGGAAUUGACGGGGCCCCGCACAAGCGGCGGAGCAUGCGGAUUAAUUCGAUGCAACGCGUAGAACCUUACCUGGGUUUGACAUGGAUCGGGAGUGCUCAGAGAUGGGUGUGCCUCUUUUGGGGUCGGUUCACAGGUGGUGCAUGGCUGUCGUCAGCUCGUGUCGUGAGAUGUUGGGUUAAGUCCCGCAACGAGCGCAACCCUUGUUCACUGUUGCCAGCACGUUAUGGUGGGGACUCAGUGGAGACCGCCGGGGUCAACUCGGAGGAAGGUGGGGAUGACGUCAAGUCAUCAUGCCCCUUAUGUCCAGGGCUUCACGCAUGCUACAAUGGCUGGUACAGAGAGUGGCGAGCCUGUGAGGGUGAGCGAAUCUCGGAAAGCCGGUCUCAGUUCGGAUUGGGGUCUGCAACUCGACCUCAUGAAGUCGGAGUCGCUAGUAGUCGCAGAUCAGCAACGCUGCGGUGAAUACGUUCCCGGG
rnacentral:rRNA from 1 species